rnacentral:lncRNA from 1 species
UCGUAUAGUACUGUUGCAACGUUAUUUCAUCAUUUGUUUUCUCUUAUUAGCAAUAUGUGUAUCCGUUAUUGCGUAAUUGAUAAGUACUAUUGGAGCGGAACUUUCCGAAGAGAAUAGAGAAGUAUUGAAUGCCAGAAUCUAUGUACUACUGUGUUUUAUAGCCAUGUGUUUCCAAAGUAGACUGCAGUGGCGUCACUUGGCGACGAAAAUUUCAAACUUGCGGCGCGCUUCAUUUCCAAGAAUCGUCGGAUGACUCAUACGUCGAGUUGUGUGGGCGGUGAACGGGGUAGCCGGAACAUAUCGAACAAGACGCAUGACUCACCAAUCUGAUAUGUCGGAUACUCGCGCCUUAACCUGCUCCCUCUGGAUGGCUAGACGUUCCUCAACCUGUGGUUUCCUCCGCUUAAAAGCAUACAGGUGCCACCUGUGUAACCAAGUGACCAAGAUACACAAGGAAGCUAGAUUUAAACAUCUAAUGGGAAUAAUAGCAAAAAGAAGAGGUUAUCGUAAUUUAACAUACAAUUUUUCUUCAUCGUGACAUACACAUUACACAGGCAUAAAAUUAAAGGAUUAAAAACUAAGAUAAGAUGUUGUUUUAAUUAAUUUUAGGUUAUGAUCUAAUUAAUAUUAAAAGAUUCUAAUUGAGUUUAUUAUUACUAUUAUCUAUCUUCUGGAUAUGAUAUUAUCUUUUAUAUUUUCUAAUAAUUAUUUACAUAAUCAUUAUUUUUAAUCAAAUUAUAUCUAUUUAGCAAUAUUAUACUUCAAAAGAUACGUCUCAUUACGGGCAUGAAGCACAAGGGAUUGACAUUCACCUGCUUAGCUUCACACCAUGAUGAAAUUCGAAUAGACAGGCGGUCGUCGUCCUUGAGCUAACUUCUGCCUAUAGCCAAGGCCUCGACUUAGCAGCACAUUUGAAACGUUACCCGAUUGGAAAAAUUACGACGCCAAAGAAUGUCAUUGCCAUUUUAUAAAUCGGUGCCGCGAGAGUAAUCUGCCUCAUAUGUGCUCAGAGAAUAUACAAGUUUUGUUGUUUUGUCCGUUUCAUAUUUGCUUGUUUUUCAUUAAAAUGUAGGUUAAGUCUCGUUCAUAAUGAUUUCGAGGUUAACGAAUCAUUUAUUGAUUUUAGUAAAAAAAAGACAGAAGGCUCAUCCAUCAUGCAAUAUAUAUAUAAUAAAAUUAAUAAAAUUCUUGAUAUUAACAUAUGCGCAUUUAAUAAUUGAAAUGACGAUUGGUUUAUUGGUGCAACUAGCUCAAGUUUCUUUUCUUAUCUUAUCUUUAUGUGUAAUACAGAUAAAAAACUAGCUAUUUUAGCAGUUGCCAAUAAUAAUGAUUGCGAAUCGACGAAUACAAAAACAUAUUAUUUGAUUAUUAUUAUUUAUAUUGAUUUUUUAUUUUGUUUCUCUUUUUUUUCGAUGCAAUAUAUAUAUUUUUUUUGUUUUCUUGAUUCAAUUAUCCUGAUUCUUGAUAUACAAGAUAAUACCAGUUUAUAUAUAUAUAUAUAUAUAAAAUACUUAAUGAUAAGUUAUCAAUCGAAUAUAAUCUUUCAAAAUCUAAUUGCAUCUAGAAUAACAAUUCUUGCAAAUACGAAAUACGACAAAAGAAAAAAUGAGCCGCUACCAUUAUUCAUUAUUCUAUAUUCAUACACUCAUUAGUAUCGCUGUAUUCCUUCCGUGGCGAUACACAAAUCUAAGAUAACAUCAUGAGGCUGCUGACAUCACGGAAUUUUGAAACAAAGAAGGAAAAAUUUAAUCGUAAAAAUGCCAUCGAACAAUUUGCAAGCAAUACAAUGAGAGAUCAUGAAAUCGAGCACGUUUGGACUCUGCUCUCAGUUGCAGCUGUGGCGGGCAAGUUCGAACAACACAAUCGUGGAAGUUGCGCGAAAUGAGUCAAUACUCGCUCCCUCUUGCAAAACGCACGUGCGUUUCGGUUCGCUUGUGCUGUUUGCAAACGUUGGAGAUAAAACGUAUUGGUCGAGAAGAUACAUCGCCAAUAAGCACGCGUGUUAAUAAAUUUGAUCGAUGGCCGGGCAAACAAGCGAUUAUAUGCAACUUUCAUCCUAUAUAUAUUUAAGUUUAUCAAAUAGACGAAUUUAUUGGAGAGAAUAUAAUAACAGUUUUCGUUACCAAUAACAACAGGCAGGAAGACAAAGUUGAAAUUGCUUUAUCGUAGUUUGAUAUUUAUUCUCUUUUGUGCUUACCAAGGUUGACGACUAGGAGGAAGGUAAUGGAGUAAAGUAACCGAUAAAAAAACGGAACAAAGGCAUUGUUUUUCCCUGAGAAAUCAAUUUCAUUGGAAAUACCGCCAAGAAUAUAAAUUGCGAAGGACGAUUAUAUUUAUUAGGGAAUAUGUUCAUUUUAUUGAUGCAAACAAAUAAUACAUAAUAUGAAAUAAUAAUAUAUGAUAUAAAUAAUAAAAUAAAUAUAAAAAAUAUAUAAUAUAAAAGUUAAAUGUUAUGUAGUUUUAAUAUUGAUUUUUUUACUAGGUUGUAAAUUAUCAAAUGAAAAGCGAAAAAUUUCGUAGAUCGUUAAAUAAAAUAAUUUCGUAGAAUUGCAGUCAACAUUUUCUGAAGUGGCAAACAGAUGUGUUUGUGCACGUUGCAUUGUGGGCAACGAUGCGUGGGCGUAAACAGUCGGGUGCCAGCAUGGAAUUAUAAAUUUUAAGGUGGCGAGUUUCGUUAAUCUCUUUUGGUAUUCACAUAUGGCGAAAGUAGAAAAACAAUAAUAUGUAUGAUUCUUCAUGUAUAUUCGGCGAGAUAUUUAGCUCAAGUAACUAUUGUAUGUAAAAUAGUGGAAUCUUGAUAAUAAUUCUCAAGCUUUUUAAAGAAGAAUUUUAUUCGUGUCGUUAACCUCGUUGUAAGAAUAAAAAAAAAUGAAUUUCUGUUCAUGUUUGAAAUACAUAUUUAAUUUUAUAUAUUGAUCAUAUCAUUUACAUACAUUAACUUAUAACAAUGCACUAACUUAUUUGAUAUAAUUAAUAAGCAAGGCAAAGAUUACAAUUUCUGCGUUACGUUUGCAGUUCUACAAAAUUGUUAAGUAUCACUCUAAUCGUGAAAAAGAAAUUUCAUGCUGCGUUAUAUGUUACGAUUAUCGUUGCAAUUAGUCAUAUCACUAUCAGGAAUGAGUAAGAUUUAAGCAUGCAGGAAAUGUUUUGGUAGACUUAUAGUCUUUGUGUAUGAGUAGUCCUACGAGGGAUACCGACGCUUAAAUGCCACGAGAUAAGAAGUAGUUCAACAUGCGUUACAUUGUGAUUGCAAUUUUUCUAAGCUGCUCUGUCAGAUAAACCAGAAAUUUAACAACGGUCGAGAUAAUAUCGGGCUAGCUU